GACGAACGCUGGCGGCGUGCUUAACACAUGCAAGUCGAACGGAAAGACCCUGCUUUUGUGGGGUGCUCGAGUGGCGAACGGGUGAGUAACACGUGAGUAACCUGCCCUUGACUUUGGGAUAACUUCAGGAAACUGGGGCUAAUACCGGAUAGGAGCUCCUGCUGCAUGGUGGGGUUUGGAAGAGUACGCGGUUGGGGUUGGACUUGGGGGUUAUCAGCUUGCUGGUGGAGGUGGGGAUUACCAAGGCUUUGACGGGUAGCCGGCCUGAGAGGGUGACCGGCCACAUGGGGACUGAGAUACGGCCCAGACUCGUACGGGAGGCAGCAGUGGGGAAUCUUGCACAAUGGGCGGGAGCCUGAUGCAGCAACGCCGCGUGCGGGAUGACGUCCUUCGGGUUGUAAACCGCUUUCGCCUGUGACGAAGCGUGAGUGACGGUAAUGGGUAAAGAAGCACCGGCUAACUACGUG
rnacentral:rRNA from 1 species